rnacentral:rRNA from 1 species
UACGGAGGGUGCAAGCGUUGCUCGGAAUUAUUGGGCGUAAAGCGCACGUAGGCGGUUCGUUAAGUCGGAUGUGAAAGCCCUCGGCUCAACUGAGGAAGUGCACCCGAAACUGGCGAGCUUGAGUACGAAAGAGGAUCGCGGAAUUCCCGGUGUAGAGGUGAAAUUCGUAGAUAUUCGGAAGAACACCAGUGGCGAAGGCGGCUGACUGGACAUGUAUUGACGCUGAGGUGCGAAAGCGUGGGGAGCAAACAGG